UGGGGAGUCGCCAAGCGGUAAGGCACAAGGUUUUGGUCCUUGCAUACGGGGGUUCGAAUCCCUCCUCCCCAG
rnacentral:tRNA from 1 species